GAAGAUUCUAGCUGUUCAGGGUCUGUGAGGAGGAGUCAAGGUCUGGGGUUUGUGUCCUCUGGCAUAGCAAUGGCACUGCAAUGGGGGAGCCUGUUGCUGGGCUGGGCCAUCUCGCCACUGUCACCUGCCUGUUGAGGGGUGACGGUGGUUGUUGAGAGGCUGGAUCAGACCCCAGAGGUGACAUGGAUGUGGCAUAUUUGUUGGACUUACACAGCCUUGCAUUUUAUUUUCAUCUCUGUUCCUUCCUCCCAUGAGAUCUUGGGUGGUGUUUAUCAACCCUGAGUAAUCGUUUCUUUGUCUGCAAGAUGGAAUAAAAAGGCCUACCUCAUUGGGCUCGUGUGGGUGAGGAGAACUGAAGAGUCUGAGAGCGCGGCACGAGCCAGAGGCUACGGAAAACACUGCCCUCCUACACUCCACCUUGGAGAGACCCAGAAAAGAACAAGCUUCAUUUGUAAAAAAGGAAAACAACUCAGGCAAUGGGGGUGGCUUAAAGGCACUCUACAGUGUGCAGAUGCCUUCCACUUCUUCCAUCUGCCCUGUCUCUCCAAGAACCCCUAUGGCCCCGGUCUCAGAACAGAGCUGAGUGCAGAAAUGAAAAUCUAUGGCUCUGUGUUCCAAAACGAUGAAGAAUUUCAAGAUGGUGGCAGUGGUAAAAUCUUUCUCCAGGAAAAAUCUGUCCUUGGCCCAAUGUGUAAACACUUGCUGAGUAUUGUGAAACCAGCAACUUGUUCACAAUUCUUCUGAAUUUCUUGGGAAAUUUGAAGUGGAGUACCUGUACCAACAUGAAAUGACACGAAUUUAAGUGACGCUCAACAACGAAAAGCAAAAAGAACCAAAGAGGAAGCAACUGAAACAACAUCUGGAUGUAUUUAAAAAUAUACAAUGCCUCCAAAAUCAGGUGUCAUUAAUGAAAAUUCUGAAGAAAUGCCACCGGACAUAGCCAACGCACCUACGCUGUUGUUAUUCAUUUCCUGCUUUUCACAGAAAACAAUUUUGUUGCAUGGAAGAUCGUGAACUUCAAAGGGCAGAGGGGAAACUGUCCCUUGGCCUCUACCCCUCCAAGGCCCCACUUUUUUGUCAACACUCCUUGGACGCAGCAGAAGUAUGAACAUAAUAUGGUCCUGAAUGAGGCUGAGUCUUUGGGCGCAGAAGACCCGGGUUAAUAAAAAUAGGAAGGUAAGAAAAGAAAAGAAAAAUCAAGACACAUCAUAGGACUAAAUUCCUAUUAUUUAUCCACUCAGGAUUGACCACCCCUUUGGGCCAGAUAGUUGUACCCCCAUGUACCAGGUGGGCACAUGAAGACACAAGAAGUGCUGUGAUGGUUCAUUUUGCACGUCACCUUGCGUGGAGUAUGCCAACUCAUUGUUUGGUCAAACACUAGUCUGGACAUGGUGGUAAAGGUAUUUUUUAGAUGAGAUUAACACUUAAAUCAGUAAAGCAGGUUACCCACCAUACUACGGGUGGGCCCUGUCCAAUCAGUUGAAGGCAUUAAGAACAAAGAUUGAGGUUUCCUAAAGAAGAUGGAAUUCUCCUUGAGACUACAACAUAGAAACCCUAUCUGAGUUUCCAGCCUGUUGCCCUGUGGAAUUCAAACUCAGGACUCCGGUCUAUGACAUUAACCCUCACUUAACUUUUCAGCCUGCCAGCCUGCCCUAUGGAUUUCGGACUUGCCAGCCACACAAUUCCUUAAAAUAAAUCUCUCCGUCUCUGUCUGUUUCUCUCUGUCUAUAUACACACCUG
rnacentral:lncRNA from 10 species